rnacentral:rRNA from 1 species
AAGAGACAGCAGUAGCCGCGGGAAUACGUAGGUCCCGAGCGUUGUCCGGAUUUAUUGGGCGUAAAGGGAGCGCAGGCGGUUUAGUAAGUCUGAAGUUAAAGGCAUUGGCUCAACCAAUGUAUGCUUUGGAAACUGUUAGACUUGAGUGCAGAAGGGGAGAGUGGAAUUCCAUGUGUAGCGGUGAAAGGCGUAGAUAUAUGGAGGAACACCGGUGACGAAAGCGGCUCUCUGGUCUGUCACUGACGCUGAGGCUCGAAAGCGUGGGUAGCGAACAGGAUUAGAGACCCGCGUAGUCCCUGUCUCUUAUACA